UACAUUGUGCCUACCGGCCCCAGAGCUCUGGGCAAGGAGAGAGAAUGAAGCAUACUCUCAAAGAGACCUUGGCAGAGCUAAUUCUGGAGGCUGGCGAUGGAUGGGUGGAUCUCUUUCCUUUCCCCCUCCUCAAGGCACGAUGUACUCCCUGCUUAAACAAGGUGACCCCAUUUGAAAUAAUGUUCAAGAGACACCCCCCUGCUCUGCCCUCGGCUACAAGAGGUUGUCCUAGCAGAAAUGACUGAUCAGUCUGUACUCCAGUCACUGCAGGCAUUGCAGUCUGUCUUGGAAGGACUCGCCAACCCAGGGAUUUGGUUUGGAUGCGCUGCCGCCAAGUGGGAGGCUUGGAGCCUCGCUGGAAGGGACCAUUUACUGUCAUCCCGACCACCCUCAUGGUGGUGAAAGUAGAAGGCCUCACUCAGGGCCUGGAUUCACGUGGGUCAUGUCAAAUGAGCCAAGGACGAGGUUGCUUCCAGAAGUGGAUGCCGCUGCCAGUGGACCCCGCCGAUCAUGGACUAAAGCUAAGACUCAAAAAACAAUAAGUUCAUUGAGUUCAUUGUUGCUCCUAUUGUUAAAAUAUAGGUGGGAAAUAUAGACAAUUAGGGCUUGACAUACUAUU